GGCAGCAGCUGAAAAUGAAAUAUAAAAACAUACUUCAAGCAGCCAACAGAAAGAAGGCAGAGGCUCAUAAAACAGGAGGAGGACCUACACCACCACUCCUGACAAAUGCAGAAGAGAUGGCCAGUCACUCCAGAAGAUUUAAGUGCCUUCAUAAAAUAUUCGGAUGGUAAU